rnacentral:rRNA from 1 species
UACGUAGGGGGCAAGCGUUGUCCGGAUUCAUUGGGCGUAAAGAGCGUGUAGGCGGCCAGGUAGGUCGGUUGUGAAAACUGGAGGCUCAACCUUCAGACGUCGACCGAAACCAUCUGGCUAGAGUCCGGGGGAGGAGAGUGGAAUUCCCGGUGUAGCGGUGAAAUGCGCAGAUAUCGGGAAGAACACCCGUGGCGAAGGCGGCUCUCUGGGACGGUACUGACGCUGAGACGCGAAAGCGUGGGGAGCGAACAGG